AAUAACAGACACUCAUUAGAAAUUGAAGGGUUUUUGAUAAUCAGAGAUAAGGAGAUGGCUCACUCCACGUAAAGCCCAGCAGUCGACAUUUUCCCUCCUCCCCCUCUCUAGCAGACGAAUUCGACUGCGCUGCUCCUUUCGGCCAGCUCCGGAAUCCCGGAGCUUAAAAUUUACCUACUAGAAAACAAGAUGACGCUGCUGCGCCUCUAAUGUUUGUUUCGUGAUUAUGUGUGACGUGUGAAACCCGUGUUCGAAUGUUUGUUAACUGUUUUACAUUCCAAAAGAAAAAAAGAAAAGAAAAACAUGUGGUGUGCUGUCAACUAUUAAGUGUUUUCAUCCUGUUGUGUGUUUUGGAAGUGAAGCACAUCAAAUGGAUUAGUCCAUCUGUAAUGGGUAUUCUUGUGAUCAUCGAUGACAGCUACCAAACCCACAAACUGUUAGCACAGACUAGAAGUAGAGUUUUCUACUCCUAGUCUGUGCUGUUAGCAUCCUGAAACAUUUGCAUUCCAUCAUGCUAUGCUUUAGCUCAUUUAGAGCUUGUGAAAUUUUAAUUGCAAAGGAUGUUGACCGUGUAGGAAUGUCACCAAUGGUGCAAAUCCUAUGGCUUGGAAAUUGGAUACCAUAAUAUCAUUCUGCCUAGCUUUGUGUAUUCAUCAUCUUCUGUCAGUUUUGAUACGACAAGUGCACCAUAUUUCUUAAUGUUGUGUUGCCAAUGAAAACUACCACCAUUUCAGCAGUCUUCUUGUCUUUUCUACUAAGCUUGUCAACACACAAAGACAUGGAACUCAAAACCAUCACCUUCGGACAGCCAAGUCUUUGCCUUCUUCUGCUUAAUUGCUGGCCCUGAAGUCUUUCCAGCCUUCGGACAACAGGCAUCUAUGCCAUUUUCCUCUUCCGUUCCAUGCAAAAUUGAUCAUCAAGAUUCUAAGUUCUACCCCUUCUUCGCUUCAUCGUCGACUCGUCCUCGCCCGUCGCCCCGUCUUCUCCUCGCCCGUCGCCACGUCUUCGCCUCGUCCGUCGCCCCGUCUUCGCCACGUCCGUCGCCCCAUCUUCGCCACGUCUUCGCCACGCCCAUCGCCCCGUCUUCGCCUCGUGGUCGCCCCGCCAUCGCCUCUUCUUCGUGGUAUUGUUGAAUUUUGUAAUGUGUAGUGUUAAUUAACCCGUUGGCUGCCACCCACUUUGAUCCCUUUUUUUUUUUAGCUUGUUAGGGUCCGGCAGCGCUGUUCUGCCCAAUGGUCUAUAUGCCAUGGGUAGGACAGUUGCACAAGCCGUGUGGCGCAACGUCGAUCGUCGAGGCAAUACACCAGUAGGGACUCCCUCUUGUCGAUGCGGUGAUGGUUGCCUGGGGUGUGUAUUCCCAUAACGGCUUCCAUCAUCGUGUCAGCCCGGACUUUUCAAGUCCCCCUUGGUCGCGAUCCAUUUGAUCGCGAUGUAGCUAGCGUAGUUUAAAUGUGGCGUGGCAGCCAACGGGUUAGUUGUAUGUAUUUUUGUUUGUAUUGUAUGUUGUGUAUUGUAUUUUGAAACGUAUAAAAUAGUGGUGGAUUUGUGGGUGGAUGGUGGGACAAUAAAAUGCAUUUUCGUUAUAUUA
rnacentral:lncRNA from 1 species